rnacentral:rRNA from 1 species
UACGUAGGGGGCUAGCGUUGUCCGGAAUUAUUGGGCGUAAAGAGCGUGUAGGCGGUCCGGUAAGUCCGCUGUAAAAGUCAAAGGCUCAACCUUUGAAUGUCAGUGGAUACUGCCGGGCUAGAGUCCGGAAGAGGCGAGUGGAACUCCUGGUGUAGCGGUGGAAUGCGCAGAUAUCAGGAAGAACACCAACGGCGAAGGCAGCUCGCUGGGACGGUACUGACGCUGAGACGCGAAAGCGUGGGGAGCGAACAGG